GACGAACGCUGGCGGCGUGAUUAACACAUGCAAGUCGAACGGAGUGGCGAACGGGUGAGUAACACGUGGGUGACCUGCACUGCACUUUGGGAUAAGCCUGGGAAACUGGGUCUAAUACCGGACAGUGGGGGAUGGGCCCGCGGCCUAUCGGCUUGUUGGUGGGGUAAGGGCCUACCAAGGCGGCGAAGGGUAGCCGGCCUGAGAGGGUGGGCGGCCACAUUGGGACUGAGACACAGCCCAGACUCCUACUGGAGGCAGCCGUGUGGAAUGUUGCGCAAUAGGCGGCAUCCUGAUGCAGCGACGCCGCGUGGGGUAUGACGGCCUUCGGGUUGUACACUCCUUUCACCAUCGACGCGGUAGAUGGAGAAGAAGCACCGGCUGGCUACGUGCCAGCAGCCGCAGUAAUAC
rnacentral:rRNA from 1 species